AAUGAACGCUGGCGGCAGGCCUAACACAUGCAAGUCGAACGGAUCCUUCGGGAUUAGUGGCGGACGGGUGAGUAACGCGUGGGAACAUACCCUUUGGUACGGAAUAGCCUCGGGAAACUGGGAGUAAUACCGUAUGUGGUCGAGAGACGAAAGAUUUAUCGCCAAAGGAUUGGCCCGCGUUGGAUUAGGUAGUUGGUGGGGUAAUGGCCUACCAAGCCGACGAUCCAUAGCUGGUUUGAGAGGAUGAUCAGCCACACUGGGACUGAGACACGGCCCAUACUACUACGGGAGGCAGCAGUGGGGAAUCUUAGACAAUGUGGGAAACCCUGAUCUAGCCAUGCCGCGUGAUCGAUGAAGGCCUUAGGGUUGUAAAGAUCUUUCAGGUGGGAAGAUAAUGACUGUACCACCAGAAGAAGCCCCGGCUAACUCCGUGCCAGCCGCCGCGGUAA
rnacentral:rRNA from 1 species